rnacentral:rRNA from 1 species
GACGAACGCUGGCGGCGUGCUUAACACAUGCAAGUCGAACGGAAAGGCCCUGCUUGCAGGGUACUCGAGUGGCGAACGGGUGAGUAACACGUGGGUGAUCUGCCCUGCACUUCGGGAUAAGCCUGGGAAACUGGGUCUAAUACCGGAUAGGAGCCAUUUUUAGUGUGAUGGUUGGAAAGUUUUUUCGGUGUAGGAUGAGCUCGCGGCCUAUCAGCUUGUUGGUGGGGUAAUGGCCUACCAAGGCGGCGACGGGUAGCCGGCCUGAGAGGGUGGCCGGCCACAUUGGGACUGAGAUACGGCCCAGACUCCUACGGGAGGCAGCAGUGGGGAAGAUUGCACAAUGGGCGCAAGCCUGAUGCAGCGACGCCGCGUGGGGGAUGACGGCCUUCGGGUUGUAAACUCCUUUCGCUAGGGACGAAGCUUUUUGUGACGGUACCUAGAGAAGAAGCACCGGCUAACUACGUG